AUUCAGCCAGAGAAUGAGGAAGGAGAGAGGCCCUCCCUUUGCUGGAAGGUUCCAGAACCAGCCACAAGGGGCACAGGGCUGGUCUGCCCACUUUCCAUUGGCCAGAAGCAGUAAGGUGGCCAUGCCCGCCAGGUGGAGAGGCUGGGUGAAUAGGACGUGAGCUCCAUGAACCCCGGCUGUCAGGGCCACAUGCCCACCUCCAUCAGUCUGAGUCCAAGGCGUGCCUUCUGUCGGACUUAACUCUCCUACUUCCAGAGUGGAGAAAAUGUGAGAAUAGAAAACAAAAGGCCUGUGGAAGAGGUCUGUGAAUGGUUUAGUCGCGAGCAGGGGCGUCAGGAGAAAGGUCAUGGCUAGUCUCCCCUGAGGUCUCAGUGAGGACAAGGACCAGCUCCAAGCAAGACUGCCACCUGCUCCCAGGCGGAGCGUGGACGCCCGGCCGAGUGGACUGGAGGGCCAUCUCUCUCCCGUCCUGGCCCUGCCUCGUGAGCAGGCAGACUCCACGUGUGAUCUGACACGAAUCGGGCGACCGAGUGACGCACGAUUUAAAACCCACCCGGGCAGAACGGGAGUUAAAGUGCCUACCUCUGAAAACUUGGGCAAGAUUUGAAGGAAGAUAGAUCGAGGAAAAGGAGAGUCAAGGACGCACAAAAGGGCUACAUGUUUGUCUAUGUCAUGCCAACCCUGCCUGUGUAUUCUAUUUCUGGUUCUCACUGCCGAAUUCUGGAAUUUCUAAAAUAAUACAAAUGAAGAAGAUUCAAGGAUGUGUAAGUGAUAUGUGCCUACCUAAGGGAAAGAAGCAUCUUACCUUCCUGCAAUUUGUCAAGCAACUGAAAUAUCAAGAACCUAGACCUGCCUGCAUGACUGAACGCUCACCUUGUUCCACACACCUUGUGUGUUUUUCUGUGGAAUCAGAGGUGAUGGAACAAGGAAUAUUUUUCUCCUGUUCUAUACUGGUUAUCUGCUGCUGCGUCACAAAUUACCCCAUACUUUGCAGCUUAAAAUAGUAAAUGUUUAUUAUCUCAGCAUCUGCAGGUCAGGAAUAUGGAAGUGGUUUAGCGAGGGCCUCUGACUUAGCGUCCCUUCUGAGGUUGCAGUCAAGGUGUUGGCUGGGGCCGCAGUCAUCAGAAGUCUUGACAGGCUGGAGGACCUACUUCCAAGAUGGCGCACUGGCGUGGUUCCCGGC
rnacentral:lncRNA from 1 species